CUAAGAACAUCCCACAAGGCAACAGAUGCAGUCACUUGAACAGAAGCCUACAGAGCCAGGCUCCCGGUUUUCAGAUCCCAGCUCUGCCACUCCCAGGUUGAACAAGUUACUGACCGACCCCAUGGACAGUUUUCUCAUUUGGAAAAUGGGGAUGAUAUCAACAGAGGCCUCUUAGGGCCAUUUUGUUGGUUGUGAGCUGGAUGAGUUAAUAUAAGUAAAGUGCUUAGGACAGUGUCUGGCACACAGUAGGGGCACAACACAAGACAGCUGUUGGGAUGACUGCCGUCUCUCUUGUCCCCUUGGUUUCCUCUUCCAGCAUCGUCAUUUCUUCUGAAAGCCUCCAGGACCCAAGCAACACUGUGAGGGAGAACUGACUGCAAGCGUCACAAGGAGACGAAAGACCCAGAGGGCAGAGUGGAGACACCCCAGCGACUCCAGCAAAAUGACAUCAGCCACCAGGCAGUCACACCCCAGAUGUGGAGGCAGUCCAGCCAAGCUCAGCAGAGCUGCUUGGCCAGUCUCCCCAGAUGUGCAGAUAAUAAAUGCUUAACACUGAAAGCCACUCAGAUUCUGUAGUUGUUACUCCGCAUUGCUGUGGCAAAAAUUAAUUGAUGCAAUUAUGGUACACCGUGAUGGAAAUAUGAUAUGCAUCUCCCAGGGCUACUGAUGAGUUUAAAUGAAAUAAAUGAAGGUCUUACCUCAAUCAACGGUAGCUAUGAUCCACCACCUC